CCUUACCUACCUUGACUCCAGAGAAUUGGAGAGAUGCCUUCGUGCCUUCGGGAACUCUGAGACAGGUGCUGCGUGGCUGUCGUCAGCUCGUGUUGUGAAAUGUUGGGUUAAGUCCCGUAACGAGCGCAACCCUUGUCCUUAUUUGCCAGCGAGUAAUGUCGGGAACUCUAAGGAGACUGCCGGUGACAAACCGGAGGAAGGUGGGGACGACGUCAAGUCAUCAUGGCCCUUACGGGUAGGGCUACACACGUGCUACAAUGGCCGGUACAAAGGGUUGCGAGACCGCGAGGUGGAGCGAUUCCCAGAAAGCCGUCCUCAGUCCGGAUCGGAGUCUGCAACUCGACUCCGUGAAGUCGGAAUCGCUAGUAUC
rnacentral:rRNA from 1 species